rnacentral:rRNA from 1 species
GGUGAGUAACACGUGAGUAACCUGCCUUACACAAGGGGAUAGCCGUUGGAAACGACGAAUAAUACCCUAUGAAACUAUCACUUCGCAUGAAGCGAUAGUCAAAGUGUUAGCGGUGUAAGAUGGACUUGCGUCUGAUUAGCUAGUUGGUGAGAAAAAGCCCACCAAGGCAACGAUCAGUAGCCGGCUUGAGAGAGUGUACGGCCACAUUGGGACUGAGACACGGCCCAG